UAAAUGACUCUCGGCAACGGAUAUCUCGGCUCACGCAUCGAUGAAGAACGUAGCAAAAUGCGAUACUUGGUGUGAAUUGCAGAAUCCCGUGAACCAUCGAGUUUUUGAACGCAAGUUGCGCCCGAAGCCAUCUGGUUGAGGGCACGUCUGCCUGGGCGUCACGU
rnacentral:rRNA from 1 species